UAGUCUGGUGCCAGCAGCCGCGGUAAUACGGGAGUGGCAAGCGUUAUCCGGAAUUAUUGGGCGUAAAGCGUCCGCAGGCGGCCUUUCAAGUCUGCUGUUAAAACGUGGAGCUUAACUCCAUCAUGGCAGUGGAAACUGAUAGGCUUGAGUAUGGUAGGGGCAGAGGGAAUUCCCGGUGUAGCGGUGAAAUGCGUAGAUAUCGGGAAGAACACCAGUGGCGAAGGCGCUCUGCUGGGCCAUUACUGACGCUCAUGGACGAAAGCCAGGGGAGCGAAAGGGAUUAGAUACCCCUGUAGUCCUGGCCGUAAACGAUGAACACUAGGUGUCGGGGGAAUCGACCCCUUCGGUGUCGUAGCUAACGCGUUAAGUGUUCCGCCUGGGGAGUACGCACGCAAGUGUGAAACUCAAAGGAAUUGACGGGGGCCCGCACAAGCGGUGGAGUAUGUGGUUUAAUUCGAUGCAACGUGAAGAACCUUACCAGGGUUUGACAUCCUGCGAACCUCUUAGAAAUUUGAGGGUGCCUUCGGGAAUGCAGUGACAGGUGGUGCAUGGCCGUUCUU
rnacentral:rRNA from 1 species